ACGCAAUAGGGAUAGUAACGGUUAUCCUUUUGCUUUUCGGGUAAGAUUUAGCUUGGGAAAAGCAAAAGAUAUGAGUGGAUAGCCCGACCCGAG
rnacentral:sRNA from 1 species